GCGGGCGUAACUCAGUUGGUAGAGUGUCAGCUUCCCAAGCUGAAUGUCGUCCCGCAAAGCGGGAUCGCCCGCU
rnacentral:tRNA from 1 species